rnacentral:rRNA from 1 species
GUCGAGCGAACGGACGAGAAGCUUGCUUCUCUGAUGUUAGCGGCGGACGGGUGAGUAACACGUGGAUAACCUACCUAUAAGACUGGGAUAACUUCGGGAAACCGGAGCUAAUACCGGAUAAUAUUUUGAACCGCAUGGUUCAAAAGUGAAAGACGGCCUUGCUGUCACUUAUAGAUGGAUCCGCGCUGCAUUAGCUAGUUGGUAAGGUAACGGCUUACCAAGGCAACGAUGCAUAGCCGACCUGAGAGGGUGAUCGGCCACACUGGAACUGAGACACGGUCCAGACUCCUACGGGAGGCAGCAGUAGGGAAUCUUCCGCAAUGGGCGAAAGCCUGACGGAGCAACGCCGCGUGAGUGAUGAAGGUCUUCGGAUCGUAAAACUCUGUUAUUAGGGAAGAACAUAUGUGUAAGUAACUGUGCACAUCUUGACGGUACCUAAUCAGAAAGCCACGGCUAACUACGUGCCAGCAGCCGCGGUAAUACGUAGGUGGCAAGCGUUAUCCGGAAUUAUUGGGCGUAAAGCGCGCGUAGGCGGUUUUUUAAGUCUGAUGUGAAAGCCCACGGCUCAACCGUGGAGGGUCAUUGGAAACUGGAAAACUUGAGUGCAGAAGAGGAAAGUGGAAUUCCAUGUGUAGCGGUGAAAUGCGCAGAGAUAUGGAGGAACACCAGUGGCGAA